rnacentral:pre_miRNA from 1 species
CUCCUAACAUGUAUGCACUUUCUGUUAUAUUUCUGAAGUAAGUGCUUUUAUGUUGGGAUUU